AUUACUUUGAAAUGAGAGUUGCUAUUAAAGUUAAUUUGUAAAGUAUUUUAAAUAAAAUAUUCUUAUAGUAUUGUUCGUAUCGGAGCAAGGUUGUCGUUACGAAUUCAUUUUCCGCUUGCAUUGCGUGAGCUAUAGUUAUCCUUUUCAUUCAUGUCGUGAGUGCUUCGGUUAGAAAGAGCAGGGUUAGUCAAUGAAAAAUAUUGGCUUGUGCGCAAGCGGCCGCAUCACAGUUUUUCCCGCAGUGUGACAAACAAGUGCUAACAAACAUUAUAUUUUCUCCGGCCGCUAGGUGCAUUGUUGUUUUAAUUAUAUUGUAAAUUGAAUAUUACUUUUGACUCGAUAAGUUAAAGGCGCGACGUAAUAUCAUGGGGCUGUGCUUGUCAUUCGAUUGUGGGGAUUGUGAUGGUUGCGAUGGCUGUGUGAAUCCCUGCUGCUUGGCUUUGACGGCGUGUUGCUGCAUCCCGUGCCUGUGCCCGAACGCUUGUGGUCAGCAGCAGCAGCAGCCACCGCAGACUGUGAUAAUACAGCAGCCACCUGUUGUUAUCGACAACCCGCCCUAUCCCCACCAGCCGCCGCCUGGCGGGUAUCCCGGCUACCCGGGCUAUCCCCCACAAGGAGGCUACCCACCGCCACCACAACAAGGAGGUUACCCCGGCUACCCCUCCUAUAGAUGAACUGAUUCUCAAUUAAAUAGAUAAGGAUGGGUUGUAACAUAUCAUGUCGUCCGUGCUGCUGCUGCUGCAUCCCCUGUCUCUGCUGCGACUGCUGCUCCGAGCCGCCGCCCCGCACUGUGGUGCACCACACCACCACGGUCGUGCAAGUGCCUCCCCGCCAAAGACCUAGCCAUGAACCACCACCACCUUAUAGAUAGUUAUUUACGAUACUUAAAAUAUGCAAAACCAGAUAAAACAUUUAUAUUUAUAAACUUUUUCAACUCUUGUCUCUUGCAGACAACUCAACCGAAUUUGAAGCUUAGAUUAUAUAGAGCUGGAUAACUGCGUCAAAAACCGUCCGUAUUAAUAAUUUGCGUCCCCAAAUAGCGAUUGUGCUAUUCCAUGGUAUACUUAUAAGGUGGUCGAAUUUAAAUACCAGACAAGACUACAAAUUGUGUGAAGUUUAUUUUGUGUUAAUUUAAAUUCCGUACAAAAAAACACAUAAUUUUUUAAUACUUCAAAACUAAUAAAUAUUAGGUUUGAAGCAUUAAAAAAUAAAUUGCUCAAUAAUUACAAAUCAUUACAAUCUACAUCCAUCAAUAAGAUAGCAGCAUAUUAUAUUUAGGUAUCGUUAGGAAAUAAUAGUGUUUUUAAAUAUUUAUUCAAAUUGUACCAAUAAACGAUAAUAAUAAUUUUUAUUUUUAUUCAUGUGGCAACUGGCAGCAUCUGAGCCAAUCAUUGAAAUAAAAUUGUUGGCUUGUUAUUUAGCUUGUUGAAUUGGGUUGUUAAUAUUUUUGUUAGUUAUUUUUGUUUUACCAAUAUCUUUAGUAUGGAGAUAAUAUAUUUCAUGUUUUUAUUUUAAAUUUCUGUUUCUCAUUCCUUUGUAACAAUUUAUAGCAUUUAGUUGCUUUUGUUGUAUUUUUGCAUAGGAUAUUUUAUUUUAGGAAUUAAUGUAACCUAUUAUGUAACCGAUAAAUGUGUAAAUAUAUUAUUUAUUGUUUCAUAUCAUUGUGAACUUUGUAAUCUUUCUAUUUAGAUUAUGAACCGCUUAAUAAAACAAUUAAAUUAAAAUGUUUAUGAUUGAAACAAUUUUAAAUCUAAAAAAAUAAACAAUUUUUUACCA